AUUACCUCUCCGACUGUGACAGCGGAUUGCCGGCAAAGCUGAAGAUUAAUCCUAAAUAUAGCACAGAGAACUGAAAGCGACAUUAAGCAUUUCGCAUGCUUUGCAUUUCAUUAGCAAAGGCGAACACUUUGAUUCCAUAGCAUCAGGGACGCAUUAGGCGCCUUAAUGGACUUCGAACGAAUUACGCAUGUUUCUGCAAACUUCCGCUUGUUCAUGUCAAGUCAAGCUUAUCCGAACGUUGUUUCAUGCCCCUGCAGCAGUCACACGCACCUCGGUUAAUCUUAUUUUGCAAUCAGCAACUAACACAACCUGCCGAGAAGUGGAUAGAGUGCACCGCAUACGCAUUCAUUCAGCCCACACACCAGCUUGGCUGCACAAGAAACGCAACAUCAGCGGAAAUCGUGGAUCUCGCAACCAGUCCGUGGUAAAUCUCCUAUACUUGCCAGUGGCCGUCACAGACUUUUCUAGAGUCAUUGCCCUGUGGCCUGAUGAACCUUGGCGAGUACCUAGUCCUGGAGCACGUUAUACGGCAGAACACACCAUUCAUCGUCACUUAAGACGUGGUUUCCUGCGCUGAUCAAGAGCCCAGUUCCAGUUUUCGAGCGAAAAAGUGAGAAGCUGUCUCGUGCUGCAGAAGUUGGAACUUCUCGCGUGAUUUAAACAUUGAUAUGCGGUCACCUCGUCAGAAUAUAGAAUCACUGUCAGUAUCCGCGUAACUGCGCAAAUUAAUCGGUAUAAAUAUAGUUUAUUUCAGUCAUUAGCUAGAAUAUUAUAACACAUAACCUGUUUCCUGACCUCCGCCGUUCUCGAAAAUCUGAGUUCUGAAGUAUCGCAUUUUUAUCUUCGAUGGUCUAGUUUUUGUAAUUUUUAUCAGCCUUCGCAGGAACACCCAGUAGAUUCCGAAAUCGGCAAAAAGAUAUGCUUUCCAUAAAAAGCACAUCAUUGCCACUGAAUAAGCCGAUAAUCGAGUGCAUCUAGCUGAAAAUUCCCUGGAGUAGAAACACAGGCUAAAAGUCACGCAUUGGAAAAAUAUGGUGCAUACGUGUGUGCUACGCUGCGCAAGAGUGUUGAUCUACUUCAGCACAAUGCUGGGAUUAUGUUUCUGUCAGCACCAUAAACACGUACGGCUGGCUGUACAUUCUUAAACGACGCGUGUCGUCACAGCGUGAACAAAAACGCAGCUAUGACUGUUGGUCUUUACCGGAACGUCAGCAAAAGAAUAUGGCGGGAUCAGCCGGGAGUUCCUUAUAAUCAGUAUCUUUGGCUUUGGCUCAGAAGUUUUAUAAAUGGCUAGCCUGCACGAAAUCUGUAGGUUAAAUGACAUAGAUCGUCAUUGUUCCGGAAUAGAGACAAGUAAUCCCUGUGUCGGCCUCAAGACCGAUGAUUGCGUAUCCAUUACCAAAUAAGAUGAGGCCAAAUGUGGCGCGAUAGUUACCAUUGUCUAAAUCAUAACGUCGCCCUUCUGAAUCCAAAAGCCGAGAGCAAAGCGAUGCAUUUUCAAACAGCUAGGUUUCAUCGAUAUAUGUCGACAUGCAACAAUGGUU